AUUAAAAACAAUUUUUUUACUGGCUGGUGCCAAGCGUUUCGAUAGGCGUGAACGAUUCCUUGAUGAUGCAGGGGUGCUGAAUUCUUUAGAGGAUAUCGAUUUUGUUUCUUAGCCCUUCUGCGCCACUCCCGAGUGUGUCCAAUGCAGUGAAAAACGUCCCAUCAGAAGUGGUAGAGUUGAAAAGUUUUCAGGACCACAAUAGUGUUGUUUUGCUUCGCGAUGGCUCAACACAUUUCGCCAUGAGCCCUGCACCAUCAAAAGUAAAGGGAAACUAAAAUGAACUAUUCAAAAGAGGAUUGUUAUAAGCACAUUUACCCACCAGCCACGACGUACUAGACGAUUUAUCUGUUAUUGUUGAGGUCGCAGUGUUUGCCAAAUAGGCGGAAAUCUAACUUGGAGUACAGAUAAACCUGUAUGUCAAUGCCAUCGACGUUGGAUAUGCUGCCAAGUUGAAGCAAUUUCUCGGAUUUAUUUCAACUUCAUGAAUGGGAAGGCUUUAUUUUUUCUGUGACAUCUCGUUCGUUGAUUUCGCUCGCUUUUCUUUUGCAGCAGUGAAUUCUAAUGCUUUGGUUGCUCAGUCUUACCUCACUAAAUUAUUGCAUUUUGCAAUACCGUUAUUGCAAUCAGGGAACGACAAUAAAUGAACUUUGAUUUAGUUAAAUGUUCCCAUUUUUACUUCUCGGAUCAGUAAUGAAGAGAUCAACUAGGACUAGUAACAAAAUAAUGUGCGAGUCCCUUAUUAUUAAACUUACUAGUCCCACAGUGGGACUAGUAAUCUUUCCCAAAAGGUACCAAACAUAAAACUACCAAUCAUAAAACAAAUUUUAGUCCCUCUGUGGAAUAAUGACGAAUCGACAUAUCUACCAAACAAACUAUUACAGUAUAACAUAUGAAAUAUUUCGCAUAUAUUAUUUUUUAUUAUAGCCACUCAUAACAUUUUCCAAUUUCGACGUUUUUGGCUCAUUAUCCAUUACUCGGGUCGAUCUAAAAAUCGACCUAAGUGGAUUAAAAGUCGACUUUCAAAAGUCCUGUCCAUAUUCAGCCUCACCAUUCUUAUCUUAUCUUGUUCUUGUUUUCAAACCGUUUUUACCUAUACAGCAUCGGGUUUGAUAACGCAAGGCCAAAUUUCAUCUAGACCUGCUUAACAAGGAAAUCCAUUCAACAUCCAACAACAAGAUCACCAAAUUAUAUUUCAAACGCUGAGUUUGCGUUGCUGUAAACGGAAAGGAGGACGAGGACAAUUAAAUUAUUUUCGACGAAGACGUCCAACGACUAUUAUUACGUCCAACACUUCGCAAGUAUGUGUAACUAUAAGGAGCUCUGUCAAAAGUUUCGGAAACAAAACAUCCGUUUUGAAGGCGUCAGUGAAGUAGCGGAAGGUGUA